rnacentral:rRNA from 1 species
AACGAACGCUGGCGGCAUGCCUAACACAUGCAAGUCGAACGAACCCUUCGGGGUUAGUGGCGCACGGGUGCGUAACGCGUGGGAAUCUGCCCUUUGCUUCGGAAUAACAGUUAGAAAUGACUGCUAAUACCGGAUGAUGUCUUCGGACCAAAGAUUUAUCGGCAAGGGAUGAGCCCGCGUAGGAUUAGGUAGUUGGUGGGGUAAAGGCCUACCAAGCCGACGAUCCUUAGCUGGUCUGAGAGGAUGAUCAGCCACACUGGGACUGAGACACGGCCCAGACUCCUACGGGAGGCAGCAGUGGGGAAUAUUGGACAAUGGGCGCAGGCCUGAUCCAGCAAUGCCGCGUGAGUGAUGAAGGCCUUCGGGUCGUAAAGCUCUUUUACCAGGGAUGAUAAUGACAGUACCUGGAGAAUAAGCUCCGGCUAACUCCGUGCCAGCCGCCGCAGUAAAAC